rnacentral:rRNA from 1 species
AAUGAACGCUGGCGGCGUGCCUAACACAUGCAAGUCGUGCGCGAACGGGACUUCGGUCCCUAGUAGAGCGGCGAACGGGUGAGUAACACGUGGGUAACCUGCCUGGGAGUGGGGGAUAACCUGGGGAAACUCGGGCUAAUACCGCAUACGUUCCCGGGGCUACGGCUCCGGGAGGAAAGAUGGCCUCUGCUUGCAAGCUAUCUCUCCCAGAGGGGCCCGCGGCUGAUUAGCUAGUUGGUGGGGUAACGGCCCACCAAGGCGACGAUCAGUAGCCGGCCUGAGAGGGUGAUCGGCCACACUGGAACUGAGACACGGUCCAGACUCCUACGGGAGGCAGCAGUGGGGAAUAUUGGACAAUGGGGGAAACCCUGAUCCAGCAACGCCGCGUGGGGGAUGAAGGUCUUCGGAUUGUAAACCCCUGUUGAGAGGGACGAAGGCUUUCGGGCAAACAGUCCGGAAGCUUGACGGUACCUCGAGAGGAAGCCCCGGCUAACUCUGUGCCAGCCGCCGCCGUAAAAC